GGAGGCGAUGGCCGAGCGGUCUAAGGCGUUGCGUUAAAGGCGCAGUCUCCCCUGGAAGCGAGGGUUUGAAUCCCUCUCCUUACA